AAUUCGGAUUCUAGAACAGUGUCCCAGAAGACAUCACUUGAAAGGUGAGUGAACUGGGAGAGGUUGAAGAAUGAAGAAUCUGGGUUGGCUUCCUGGAAGAGAUGGGUCUUGAAGGUUUUCUCUGGCAGGGGGGUGGUACUUGUCAGGCAGAGGCAAUAAGAAGGGGUGAGCGUGGGAGGCAGGGGGAUGCCACACCGUCACCCCGGGCAUGGGGGCGCACCUGGAGUAGAAAGCCAGCAGCUUGGAGUGCACGAGCAGGAAGGCGUGCAGGGCCUCCUCGCCACCCCGCUCGGGGCUGGAGUUCACAGCCUGGAUGACGUGCCGCUCCAGCGCCUCGAUGCACAGCUCACAGAGCUGGGGGUGGAUCAGCCGCUCCACAGCCUGCCGGGGUGGGCAAGGACAGGAAGCCUGUGAUCAACUAUCCUCCCCCAUCCCUGCCCUCACCUAGAGGGUUUGCUCACUCAGUCCACGCGGAGUCCAGAUUAUGCACUGGAUACUUGGGCGCAGUGAGGAUAAGACCAGCAAGGUCCCAACCUUCCUAGGGCAUCCACUCCAGUGGGUGAGCCAGACAACACACAAGGCAACAGACAAAGUAGCUGCAGUAAGCCGACUGCGGUAACUGCUGAUUAGGAAAUACACGGGCUACAGAAGAACAACUAAGACCUACCUGGGGAGGGAGUCCCGAGUAAAGGCCCUGACAUGACCUUUAAACUGUGAUCUAAACAACUGGAAAACCUGCCGACAGAGAGGGAGAGGGAGGACACAGCAGGCUGAGGAAGCUGCAUAUGCAAAGGUCUUGAGGUGGGGACGGACCAUAGAGCACAGUUGUCCAACUGAAGUAUAAGGCAAAGCCUAUAUGUAAUUUAAAGUUUUCUAGUAAUUGCAUUGAAAAGGUAAGAGGAAACAAAGUUAAUUUUAAUAUUAUACUUUAUUUUACCCAUUAUAUCUAACAUUACCAACAGGUAAAAGUAUUAUUACUGGGACACUUCACAUUCUUCUUGUGCUAAAUUAUCAAAAUCUGGGAUCCAUUUUCCAUGUGGAGCAUAACUCAGUUUGGACCAGCUACAUUUCAAGAGUCCCACAGCCACUCUUAGUGGUAGCUAAUGACUACCGCUCUGCACAGAGGUAAUGAAGAACAUUCCUGACAUUGAAAGAAGGCCCAUGAGACAAGUGCCUAGUGCAAGAGGACUACAGGGGCACAAGAUGAGGCUGGGGUGAAACGGCUAGUGACAGAUCAGACAGGCUGGUGGGCUUGAGAAAGAGUCUGGACUUUAUCUUAACUGCACUAGGUCACCUCCUACAGGAAGUCUUUCCUGAUGCCUGAGAAAGAAUUGGCCACUCCAUUCUUUCAGCUUGGAUCCAUGGCUUUGGAUGCGAAAUCUAAUAUGGCACCCAGGAUAUGUUACUAUGUUUUUCAGUAUAUAUUAAGUUAUCUGGAAGGUCAUGAUGUAUUUUUGUAUGUUUUUCUAUGCAAAAAUGUGUCAUGACUUUUCCAGCAAACCAAUAUACAUGGUGAGUCUUCCCUCAAGAUAUACAUACAUCUUUAUGUAUAUCUGAAUUCCUAGGACUUUGAGACAUCUAAAAAUACAGAAGUACUAAAUGUUUACUAGAACAGUGAAGGAGUGGAGGAUGUGAGAAUGAAUUUUAAUUCCUUCAGAUCUAUUUUUCAGUUCACUAAUUCUCUCUCUAGCUAUGUCUCAUAAGAUACCGAACACAUUCCUUGAGUUUUUCACUUCUACAAUUGUUUCCAUUUCUAGAAUAUCUAUAUGCAUUAUUUUUCUAAUUGGCCUGGUCACUUUUGAAUCUCUGGUUACUUGUUCCUAUUUGUAAUCCUAUCCUUUAUGUUUUUAAGUAUUUUAUAGUUAUUUUUAUUCUAUACUUAAUAACUCCAAUAUAUCAAGCUCCUUGGGACUUAAAUCUGUUGGUGAUUGAUUUCCCUGACUCUCACUCAGGGUAGCUUGUUUUCUUGUACAUCUAUCCUUCUUAACUGUGAGCUCUUGUUUGAUCCUAAUCUGUCCUCCAAAGCAGUGGUUUUCAAAGCAUGGUUCUUGGACUAGCAUAAUUCAUCAGUGUCACCUGGGAACUUGUUAGACAUGCAAAUUCCAGAGCCCCAGUCCCAGACUUACUAAAUGAGAAAUAUGAGGGUGAGGUCCAGCAGCCUGUGUGUAACAAGACCUAUAGAUGAUUGUGAUACACACUGGAGUGUGAGAACCCCUGCUCUAGAGAGAAUUUGCUUUUGCCUCUAUAGAGAGCCAGAGAUUACUACUAACACCCACCUGAACUUCUCAGGUCUGGGUUUAGCUUAGGAGCUACAGGUUCAGCAGCCCCCACACUGCUGCUGGCCUAGGGCUUUUUUUCUGGUUACAGUGUUAGUACUGUUUGCAUGCAGGACACUCUUGCCUUUAGUGCUGCCUUCUUCCCCCAGCACUCCCAUUG